AAUAAUAAUAAUAACACCCUGCAGCUCUCACCUGGUUUCCCCACUGAAGCUAAGCAGGGUUGAGCCUGGCCAGUACAUGGAUGGUAGACCUCCUGGGGGGAAACUGAGGUUGCUGCUGUAA
rnacentral:rRNA from 1 species